rnacentral:rRNA from 1 species
CUUGACACUGAACAUUGAGCCUUGAUGUGUAGGAUAGGUGGGAGGCUUUGAAGCGUGGACGCCAGUCUGCGUGGAGCCGACCUUGAAAUACCACCCUUUAAUGUUUGAUGUUCUAACCUGGCGCCGUGAUCCGGCGUGGGGACAGUGUCUGGUGGGUAGUUUGACUGGGGCGGUCUCCUCCCAAAGUGUAACGGAGGAGCACGAAGGUCAGCUAAUCCUGGUCGGACAUCAGGAGGUUAGUGCAAUGGCAUAAGCUGGCUUGACUGCGAGAGUGACGGCUCGAGCAGGUGCGAAAGCAGGUCAUAGUGAUCCGGUGGUUCUGUGUGGAAGGGCCAUCGCUCAACGGAUAAAAGGUACUCCGGGGAUAACAGGCUGAUACCGCCCAAGAGUUCAUAUCGACGGCGGUGUUUGGCACCUCGAUGUCGGCUCAUCACAUCCUGGGG